AGCAGUGCUGGGAGCGGGGCAAAGAGGCCCUCAUACCUUUGGAGGAGCCCUUGGGGAAAUGAUGAAGGUCCCAAGGGAGACUUGAAGUGGUCCCUGAAGGGGACCUUUGCGGAGCACCGGGGCCAACCCUGCAGGGCCAAGGGGCUACUAACUGCUCAGGGCAGCCUCAGAGAGGGCCAAAGGAUGUUUCAAAGGGUGCUUGUUCCCUCGUAGUCAUGCAUGGGGCAGGCUGUGGUCCAGCCUGUGGAGCUAGAAACACCCGGAGAAAGAUCUCAGACCUGAGGGACCUGUCAUGGGAGAGACCUUUCAGGCCCCUGUACUUGCUUCUCCUGAUGUGUGAGUGAACAGUUUGGGGGUUUCAGCUGAAUUCUCAUUUGGUCGGGGUCCAUAGGUGCUUGGGUUGCUUGAGGCAGCAGACUUGGCUCCCUCGUCACGGGCUGUUGGGCUUUGCCUGCUCCACGGAGCCCUAAAGAGGGCUGGCAGGACCUCGGGAUCUUCCCAGGCAGGGCGAGUGCCUGUCCUACUCCUGGCAGGCGUUUGCCUGAGCUGUUCCUCCCCAGCACACCCAGUGCUGAACUCCGGAGAUUACUGAGCACCUCCCUGACACCCUGUGGCCAGAAGAGCUCUCGAGUCUUGGCCUGGCAGAUCAGGUGCCCCUUGGAGCAGCAGGCGCUGCAGUCCAGGAUCUGGUGGGUCAGAGACUGACGUGGAUCCACUAGCAAAACCCAGGAGAAGAUGGACUUGAGGACGGCACUUCCUGAAUUGCAGCCCCAUUUGGGGAACCAGGGAACUGCAUCCUUUCCCUUGCACUUGGUGCUGCAGAGGGUCCAGGAGGUUCAGCUGCUCCAGCAGGAUUAGGGAUGAUCCCCAUCCAGAUGUGGCACAGGCAGAGAGUCCUCUUUCCAUCCACUGGCAGAAGGGAGCCAUGUGAGAUGUCCACAAGUGUGCUUGGGGGGAAAGGAACAUCAGUGAAGACCUGAAACAAUUUUGCUGCUCUUACAGCUGAGAAAGGAUCAUGCUGGAAGGUUUCUGUGGAAGUGGAGCCUGGGGAAUGGACAUGAAAAGCCUUUUUUCCCAGCUGACUCCCUUGGCAGGUGAAUUGUUUACAGAGUCAGGAUGCCAGAGUGCCUGGAAGGGAGCCAGCUCUAUUUUAGCCCUUUGUAAAUGAUUUAAACACCUCGUGCUGGGGGCACAUUCCCAGGAAAGGGGCUGCUUGGCUUUUCUUCCUGGGUGUGCCAGGGGUGUGCAGGAGAGGUGGAAGGCAGAAGGAGCCAGCCCUGGCAGGGAC